GAAAUAAAAUUUUAAAGCUGCUAACUUUAUUACAUAUGAUAGUUUCAUAUUUAUUUCU
rnacentral:tRNA from 1 species